rnacentral:rRNA from 1 species
UGAAGAAGGUAUCUUUGGUUUUGGCUCUUGUCUAUGUUCCUUGGAACAGGACGUCACAGAGGGUGAGAAUCCCGUGCGAUGAGAUGCCCAAUUCCAUGUAAAGUUCCUUCGACGAGUCGAGUUGUUUGGGAAUGCAGCUCUAAGUGGGUGGUAAAUUCCAUCUAAAGCUAAAUAUUGGCGAGAGACCGAUAGCGAACAAGUACUGUGAAGGAAAGAUGAAAAGAACUUUGAAAAGAGAGUGAAAAAGUACGUGAAAUUGUUGAAAGGGAAGGGCUUGAGGUCAGACUUGGUUUUACCAGGCCAGCAUCAGUUUGGAUGGCAGGAUAAUAGCUUAGGAAUGUGGCACUGCUUCGGUAGUGUGUUAUAGCCUGGGUUGAUACUGCCUGUCUAGACUGAGGACUGCGUCUUUGACUAGGAUGCUGGCAUAAUGACCUUAAGCCGCCCGUCUUGAA